UAGGGAAUCUUCCACAAUGGGCGCAAGCCUGAUGGAGCAACGCCGCGUGUGUGAUGAAGGGUUUCGGCUCGUAAAACACUGUUGUAAGAGAAGAAUGACAUUGAGAGUAACUGUUCAAUGUGUGACGGUAUCUUACCAGAAAGGGACGGCUAAAUACGUGCCAG
rnacentral:rRNA from 1 species